AAUUACUAAAUAAUUAUGCUGUGCAAUAGAAAUGUCAUAGCUCAACACAAUUUGAAUAUAAAAACUGUUUAAGGAUCUAUUUGGCAUAAAUUGAUCUGCAUUUGAAAUAUAAGGCAUCAUUAUCCCAUUUCUGCAACAAUUAAUCUUUCAGUUUUUGUAACAACUGAAUGGCAAUUUAUAAAUCAAUGUUCUUUAAAAAAAAAAAUAACGGUCUGAUUAUUUUUCUAGGUAAAGUAUGUAAUAUCAUGUUUUUUACGCCUAAGGGCUUGAAAGAUUAUAUUAUUGUCUUUGGAGAAGUUCAGCCCUCAUUCCGAGUUCGUGAUGCUAACUACAAGCCAUGGGUCUUGGCUCAUACUGAUGGCAGAAUUCAAUGUGGCCAUUGCACAUGUGUUGCUGGUUUAGGAGAAACUUGCAGUCAUGUUGCUGCCUUACUAUUCAAAAUUGAGCUAACAGUUCGCCUUGGAUUGAAUGUACAAGCUCCUACAGAAACUGCUUGUCAGUGAAAUUGCAAGGUUUCAAAAAAGGUAAACUUUGCUCCUAUUUCACGCAUCAAUUUGAAGAAAACAAAAUGGUCUGAUGUGGGAAGUUCCUCAAACUCUGGGAUAACUUCACCUAUUCAAGUGGCUCCUCUAACUAUUAGUGAUAUCCAGA